rnacentral:rRNA from 1 species
CCAGACUCCUACGGGAGGCAGCAGUGGGGAAUAUUGGACAAUGGGGGGAACCCUGAUCCAGCGACGCCGCGUGAGUGAAGAAGUAUUUCGGUAUGUAAAGCUCUAUCAGCAGGGAAGAAAGAAAUGACGGUACCUGACUAAGAAGCCCCGGCUAACUACGUGCCAGCAGCCGCGGUAAUACGUAGGGGGCAAGCGUUAUCCGGAUUUACUGGGUGUAAAGGGAGCGUAGACGGCGAUGCAAGUCUGAAGUGAAAGGCGGGGGCCCAACCCCCGGACUGCUUUGGAAACUGUAUAGCUGGAGUGCAGGAGAGGUAAGUGGAAUUCCUAGUGUAGCGGUGAAAUGCGUAGAGAUCGGGAGGAACACCAGUGGCGAAGGCGGCCUACUGGGCUUUAACUGACGCUGAGGCACGAAAGCGUGGGUAGCAAACAGGAUUAGAUACCCCCGUAC